AUUGAACGCUGGCGGAAUGCUUUACACAUGCAAGUCGAACGGCAGCACGGGUGCUUGCACCUGGUGGCGAGCGGCGAACGGGUGAGUAAUAUAUCGGAACGUAUCCAAUAAUGGGGGAUAACUAGCCGAAAGGUUAGCUAAUACCGCAUACGCCCUGAGGGGGAAAGCUGGGGAUCGUAAGACCUAGCGUUGAUGGAGCGGCCGAUAUCUGAUUAGCUAGUUGGUGGGGUAAGAGCCUACCAAGGCGACGAUCAGUAGCUGGUCUGAGAGGACGACCAGCCACACUGGAACUGAGACACGGUCCAGACUCCUACGGGAGGCAGCAGUGGGGAAUUUUGGACAAUGGGGGCAACCCUGAUCCAGCCAUUCCGCGUGAGUGAAGAAAGCCUUCGGGUUGUAAAGCUCUUUCGCAAGGGAAGAAAACUCGAUCUCUAAUAUAGGUUGAGGCUGACGGUACCUUGAUAAGAAGCACCGGCUAACUACGUGCCAGCAGCCGCGGUAA
rnacentral:rRNA from 1 species